UACGUAGGGUGCAAGCGUUAAUCGGAAUUACUGGGCGUAAAGCGCGUGUAGGCGCCCUGCAAGUCGGAUGUGAAAUCCCCACGGCUCAACCGUGGAAGUGCAUUCGAAACUGCAGGGCUAGAGUCCUGGAGAGGAAGGUGGAAUGCUUGGUGUAGAGGUGAAAUUCGUAGAUAUCAAGCGGAACACCGGUGGCGAAGGCGGCCUUCUGGACAGUGACUGACGCUGAGACGCGAAAGCGUGGGGAGCAAACAGG
rnacentral:rRNA from 1 species